AGAGUUUGAUCCUGGCUCAGGAUGAACGCUGGCGGCGUGCCUAACCCAUGUAAGUCGAGCGAUUCUGAUAGCAAUAUUAGAAGAGCGGCGGAAGGGUGAGUAACACGUAGGAGACCUACCUCAUCGCAGGGAACAACUUCGCGAAAGCGGAGCUAAUACCCAAAAGACUCGUGACUUCGGUGUUAUGAGGAGAGUGCUCGCAAGGGUGCGUGAUGAGAGGGUCCUGCGGCCCAUCAGCUAGUUGGUAGGGUAGUGGCCUACCAAGGCAACGACGGGUAGGGGGUCUGAGAGGACGAUCCCCCACACUGGAACUGAAACACGGUCCAGACGCCUACGGGUGGCAGCAGGGAGGAAUAUUGGUCAAUGGACGCAAGUCUGAACCAGCAACGCCGCGUGAUGGAUGAAGGCCUUCGGGUCGUAAACUUCUUUUGAGGGAGACGAGAAAGGACGGUAUCCCUCGAAUAAGCCACGGCUAACUACGUGCCAGCAGCCGCGGUAAAACGUAGGUGGCGAGCGUUAUCCGGAUUCAUUGGGCGUAAAGAGCUUGUAGGUGGCCACAUAAGUUGGACGUGAAAACUCCGGGCUUAACUUGGAGAGGCCGUUCAAUACUGUGAGGCUAGAGGGUGUCAGAGGGAAGUAGAAUUCCUGGUGUAGCAGUGAAAUGCGUAGAUAUCAGGAGGAAUACCCGUGGCGAAGGCGGCUUCCUGGGACACAACUGACACUGAGAAGCGAAAGCUAGGGGAGCAAACGGGAUUAGAAACCCCGGUAGUCCUAGCUGUAAACGAUGGAUGCUAGGUGUAAGCAGAUCUAACCCUGCUUGUGCCGAAGCUAACGCGUUAAGCAUCCCGCCUGGGAACUACGAGCGCAAGCUUAAAACUCAAAGGAAUUGACGGGGACCCGCACAAGCAGCGGAGCGUGUGGUUUAAUUCGAUCUACACGAAGAACCUUACCCAGGUUUGACAUGCAGGUGGUAGUGAAGCGAAAGCGGAACGACCCGCAAGGGAGCUUGCACAGGUGUUGCAUGGCUGUCGUCAGCUCGUGUCGUGAGAUGUUGGUUUAAGUACCCUAACGAGCGCAACCCUCGUUGCCAGUUACAAGUGUCUGGCGAGACUGCCGGCCGCAAGCCGGAGGAAGGCGGGGACGACGUCAGGUCAGCAUGGCCUUUAUAUCUGGGGCUACACACACGCUACAAUGGGUCGCAACAAUGGGUUGCCAAACCGCGAGGCGGAGCCC
rnacentral:rRNA from 1 species